UGGGGAAUUUUGGACAAUGGGGGAAACCCUGAUCCAGCCAUCCCGCGUGUGCGAUGAAGGCCUUCGGGUCGUAAAGCACUUUUGGCAGGAAAGAAACGUCGCGGGUUAAUACCCCGCGAAACUGACGGUACCUGCAGAAUAAGCACCGGCUAACUACGUGCCAGCAGCCGCGGUAAUACGUAGGGUGCAAGCGUUAAUCGGAAUUACUGGGCGUAAAGCGUGCGCAGGCGGUUCGGAAAGAAAGAUGUGAAAUCCCAGAGCUUAACUUUGGAACUGCAUUUUUAACUACCGGGCUAGAGUGUGUCAGAGGGAGGUGGAAUUCCGCGUGUAGCAGUGAAAUGCGUAGAUAUGCGGAGGAACACCGAUGGCGAAGGCAGCCUCCUGGGAUAACACUGACGCUCAUGCACGAAAGCGUGGGGAGCAAACAGGAUUAGAUACCCUGGUAGUCCACGCCCUAAACGAUGUCAACUAGCUGUUGGGGCCUUCGGGCCUUGGUAGCGCAGCUAACGCGUGAAGUUGACCGCCUGGGGAGUACGGUCGCAAGAUUAAAACUUAAAUGAAUUGACGGGGUCAUAGCUGUUUCCU
rnacentral:rRNA from 1 species